rnacentral:rRNA from 1 species
GACGAACGCUGGCGGCGUGCUUAACACAUGCAAGUCGAACGGAAAGGCCCUGCUUUUGUGGGGUGCUCGAGUGGCGAACGGGUGAGUAACACGUGAGUAACCUGCCCUUGACUUUGGGAUAACUUCAGGAAACUGGGGCUAAUACCGGAUAGGAGCUCCUGCUGCAUGGUGGGGGUUGGAAAGUUUCGGCGGUUGGGGAUGGACUCGCGGCUUAUCAGCUUGUUGGUGGGGUAGUGGCUUACCAAGGCUUUGACGGGUAGCCGGCCUGAGAGGGUGACCGGCCACAUUGGGACUGAGAUACGGCCCAGACUGCUACGGGAGGCAGCAGUGGGGAAUCUUGCACAAUGGGCGGAAGCCUGAUGCAGAAACGCCGCGUGCGGGAUGACGGCCUUCGGGUUGUGAACCGCUUUCGCCUGUGACGAAGCGUGAGUGACGGUAAUGGGUAAAGAAGCACCGGCUAACUACGUG